AAUCUGCUACGCUAAGAAAAAAGCCCGUACGCAUCUGCCUCCUCUCCUCAACCCGCUCGCCGCCGCCACACCUCAACCCGCUCGCCGCCGCGGCUGCACCUCAGCUCGCUCGUCACCCAAGCCGCCGCGGCCGCACCUUCCCCAGCCCGCUAGCCGCCCACAUCGGCGCGGCCGCUCGCCGCCCCGGCCGCAACCCAACCACCUCCGGCUCCCAUCGACGCCUGGAUCGACAUCUCCUCCAAUGGAUGCCGCCCCAACCACCUCAGCCAACAAGACGCCGGCCCAACCAACCUCAACAAGCCGUUUCUUGCCCCCGCCCGCCUCUACCUCCUCGACGCAGGACGACUCUGACCGCAUCUGCCUCCCGUUCGAGGACGGCGUUGGAGGACAGCGUUUCCAUAGCUCGAGCGCGGCAUGGAGCAGCUGCCUCCUCUCCCGUGACGAGAAAGCCCAUAGCCCCCUCAAUUAGCAUGGAUUGAACUUGCGUUUUGUGCAAUGUCAGCAGUUCAUGAGGUACAAUACAAUAUGAGUAUAUUUUGGAAUUGAUUUAGAGGCAUGUUAAUUUCGGAGUAGAGUAUAUCUUGGAAUUGAUUCAGAGGCAUGUUAAUUUUGGAGUAGCUUGCAUUUUAUUCCACAGGGAUAAAAUUGAUAUACUCAAUUAACAAAUUCUUUUUUGAUAUGUUUGUAAUUAGUCAAUCAUUUAGAUAGAAUGAGUCUGGACCUCGUGGAGAAAAAAGAAUCGCCAGUGACCUUGAAAGUUUAUGUUCGAGGAAGAGGUUGGUUAAUUUCUUUGAGAUGGAGUGGUACAAAUGGUUCUACCUUUUUUUUUUUUUGCAUACUGGAUUUGUUCCCCUAUGGCUGGCCGCAUCAUCCUUUCAUCCGUGCAUGUGCCUGGAGGAGAUCCAGGAAUGUCUGGCAUGAGAAAGUUCAAAGCCGAGUCCUCCAUCCAGGCCCUCCUUUGCAAGGCCGGCGGGGACACUGCUCCAUAUAUGUGCUCCUCUCCCACCCCUCCACUGAUUUAAUGUGAAAUCUAAUUGGGAGGUAUUGAUAAGCACCAAUGUAUCCUUGGUUUAAUUAGUAACCAUGUCUUGAGUUACUUUGAUCUUCUUGGUAAGAUCAAACCGAUGAAUACCUUUCAGGUCUAUCUAAUACGAAGUAAGCGAUACAAAUGCAAGGAUUGCACAUAAGUAAUUGGAUUUGACCCCAGUUAAUUUAUUGCCUGUUUAACAACGCAGAAAGAAGAGUUGCUACACCGGAACCUAGGCCAUGCAGUGAUUCAUAUUUUGGUUGCGCGGCUGUUUCUAUGUUGUUCAUAUGAGGUAAAUUUUAAAACGAUGCAUUGCUUCACCCUGCUAUAUCCCGAUGCUCUCAUAGUUUAAUCUAUCCGGCGUAUACACAUCUUUCUUGGUGAUUGUAUUUUUCAUGUUGUCUGUCGAUGCAUAUCGCAACCUAACACACAGAACUAGAAAAAUUGUAGUUAUUGUUGUAUAACGUUGGUUUUGGUAAAAGUUCAUGCGUUAUAUGUUUAUGUGGGUUUUGAUAAAAUCACUUCUGAUCUUCAGAGAUAUAUGUUUGGUACUUGCUCUACACAUAUAUGCCUGGCGCUCCAGCUCAUGCAUUCGUUCGAUCUGACAUUGGAGGUGGUACUAAUUUCAAACCCCUGUUAGUACAGUUUGUGCCUCGCUAGGGCCUUUCCCAUGCUUGCUGGGCCUUUAUGCUCAGUGGGCUUCCAUGAUCCGCUUAAUAAAAAUAUAAAAAGGUGAAAAGAAGGUGCUCAGUGGGCUUCCAUGGUCCUUAACUCAUGUAGGAUUCGAAGACAGGACCUCCUGUUCCAUCAAGAAGAACGCAACCAACUGAACUCCAUUACGCUUGUGUUGAAAACCAAUGUUCCUUCUCAAAUAAUUAGUCCCACCUCACUUCUUUGCACUAAUUCUCACCAAUUUAAAUACGUGGGAGUUAAACAAGUCAACAAGCAGCCUGACUUGAUACAGAAAGAUAACGUGAGAAGAGAACUUGGAAGGGCCCUGUGGAGGGAGAGAGAAGAAAAAGCAUGUAUCAGACCUGGACAAGGAGGGCUGGGUGGAAACACGAGGGAACAAGGACACGGCUGGUAACCAUAUCACCCUGCUAGCAGCAGCAGACGGCGAUGAGGACGCAAGGACAUGGCCGGAGGCCAUGUCAGGGAGAUGCCGAUGAGGACGCAAGGACAUGGCUGGAGACCAUGUCAGGGAGAUGCCGAUGAGGAUGCAAGGACAUGGUUGGCGACCAUGAGACGGUGACGAAGACGCUGAAUAUCAUGGACCCAACUUCCAUGAAGGGCAGAGCAAUGAAACGGUCACCUUGCUCAAUGGUGAUGCAAGAAUAUGCUUACGUGAUUUCCAGGAAUAGCAUCAUUUCCUCAGAGAUAUCUUAAAGCUUUGAAUAAAUAAAUAAAAUUGUGUUACCCUAAGAAAGGGGAUGGUGCCUUUGCAUGGUGUGUACAAGCGUGUUAACUCUUACACCUUUUUGGGUUAUUAUUCUGUAAUUGUUUGACUUAAUUUUUUAAUUUAUCAACAAAUUGUUCUUCA